rnacentral:rRNA from 1 species
UAGGUUAACGAGGCGAACCGGGGGAACUGAAACAUCUAAGUACCCCGAGGAAAAGAAAUCAACCGAGAUUCCCCCAGUAGCGGCGAGCGAACGGGGAGCAGCCCAGAGUCUGAAUCAGCUUGUGUGUUAGUGGAAGCGUCUGGAAAGUCGCACGGUACAGGGUGACAGUCCCGUACACGAAAAUGCACAGGUUGUGAACUCGAAGAGUAGGGCGGGACACGUGGUAUCCUGUCUGAAUAUGGGGGGACCAUCCUCCAAGGCUAAAUACUCCUGACUGACCGAUAGUGAACCAGUACCGUGAGGGAAAGGCGAAAAGA